UUUGAUUCAACUUUAUGCUGCAUUCACAGAGCUCUGGUUCCUGAUUAUCCAAGUCAAAUAUAUCCUUUGAAAUUCAAAGGAAAACCAUUCCUUUUUAAGCAUCCAGCUCUUGGAAUGAGGCUCAAAGGUAAGAAUUUGUCUUACCUCUUUGUUCUGGUCUAAAUCUUACCUCCCUCCCCCAGGGCAGUGAUGAAGAAAAAGCCAGGGUUCCCAGAUAGGGGGGAGAAGGGUCAUUGGACAUGUAGCCUUUUAAUAUCUGAAGAUGUUAUACUAUUACAUUUUACUUUUUGUUAGGUCACAUUUUUAUUAAUUAUCUCUGGAGGGCUUAUUAAAUUUUGAAGAUUAUGGUAUGAAAUUAUUAAAGAUGACUUUAUAAAUGGUAAUGCGUUUUCCAGUCCAGAUAUUAAACUCAAUCAAAGACACUCAGUCCCAGAUGGAGAUGCAUUUGUGGGAAAGUCAGCUAGAGAGACUGCUUGCCUCUGGGGAGCAAAUGUGCUGCAGCCUAGUAUUCCUAUUCUCCCAGCCCUUCUCUGCAACCCCCAAACCAGAGAGUUCAUGGCUGCUGCGGUCCAUCGAUGGCACCCUAGUCACUCAGUGUCCCUCCUCUCCCCUCCCUCGGAGCCAACCUCUGGGAUUUGCAGAAGAGGAUUCAACCAACCCAGCCACAGUGGAGCCAUAUUGAGGAAGAGCAGAGCCCCUUUUGGGGGAGACAGAGUGCCGGGAGUAGGCAGCUGAUGCUGAUGGACCAGAGGAUGUUUAUAAGUAGUUUCCAGGCUUGGCUGGACCCGCUGGCCGUACUGGAGGCUGGGGUGGUGGCGGUGGUGCUUCCCGGUGUCUGGCUCCCGGGUACCCCACGCUGCGGCGGUGCUGGCGCACUUCUCCGGGCCGAGCCCGGGCUGCUACAUAGGAGGGCGCCGGCGAGGCGGGAGGCAAGAAAGGACGUGGGGACCGAGGCCAGGCUGCCGCCCCAAUAUGGCUCGUGGACAGCAGAAGACAACAUAAAAAAAAAAAAAAGUUUCCAGGCUUGCCUUCUGUGCCUUCAAGCCACAGGUAGCUGAGGCCAGAAACAAUCUUUGCAGGGAGCCACUGGCUUCCUGAUUCACUGAUGCCUGGUUUUGUGAGUGUGUUAGCCCUCUGCCUGAAGUCUGUGUUUUAGGGAAGAUGGAUCCAAUCCUCUGCCCCAGGAAGGCACAUUUGACAUUGUUGGCUCUGCACUUUACAGCCCUGAAAUGGGAUUUGAUCCAGUGAAGUGACUGCAUCAGACAAAGGGACCUCUUAUCAGAGGUACCUGUUAAAUGCUCCAGAUCCACCAGAACAUCUGCUGAGCACUUAGGUUCUAACAAGAUUCGGAAGAAAUGGUGCAAGUAAUUCUGCAUGGAUUUGAUUGGACUUGAAAAUUACAGACUCAGAGUUGCACCAAAGAUGACUGGAAACCAAUUUAAAUAAUUUGGAGGAAUGCCUGAAGGCAAUGAAAUGUGGAGAUGCUUCUAGAACUGCAGAGGAGUUGGAGUAAAGCAGUAAUCCAAACAGAGAGCUAUCCCUACGCUUUUGGAGCUUACAAUGCAGUGGAGAAAGACAGACUGUAAACAAAGGAGAGAAACACAGUGUGUAGGUAAAUCCUACGGAGAAAAAUAAAGCUGGAAUGGUGAGGAACGAAGGCUUGGGGUGGGGAAUCCAUUUUAAAUAGGAUGGUCAGAGAAGGCUUUUCCAAGAAAGAGUAUUUCAGCAAGAACUUCAGGAUGUGAGGGGGCAAGCAUUCUAUAGGAAUGGUCCAGACAGAGGGAAUAGCAGUUACAAAGUCUGUGACCAUGGAGCCUCUCUGAAUAUAAGCUCCUUCUGGCUAAAACAUGCUGGUAGGCCAGCAAGACUGUGAGCAGGCAGAUCUGUUCAGAAAUUUUCCAAAUGAUAGUCACUUGGACUAGGGUGUUCACAAAUAAAUGUGGGAGGACGUGUUGGAUUCUGGGUAUAUUUUCAAGGAGUGCUAACCAGAUUUGCUGAUAGAUGGGGUGUAGAAAGUGAGAGAAACAGAGGAGUUAAGGAUGAGGCUAAGCCGUGGGUCUGAACUCACAGGAUGAAUUGCCUGUGGUGAUACUAGGAAGGGCUCCGGGAAGAUCAGGACGGCAGUUUGGUCCUUGCUAGGUUUGAGCUGCCUCUGAGGCAUCCAUGCAGCGAGGCUCAGGGGCAAUGGCAGAUGCGAGUCCGGAGGUCCUCCAGAUUGGAGGCUGGGGCUGUAGGUAUGAGCGGAGUCUAAAUCCGCUGUGCUGGAGGAGAUCUCCCACAGAGGGGUGUAGACGAAAAAAGUUCCAGUCAGAGGAAGGCUGUGAAUUGACUAUUGUUCUUGGCAACCUGGAGGUCGCUGGGGACGUUGACAAAGCUGGUGGGGGUGGAGAGCCUGAUUGCAGUGGAUCCAAAAGAGAAUCGGUGGAAAGAAAUUAGAAACGGCGAGUCCGUAUAAUUACUUUUGCUAGUUUAUUGUAAAGGGUAUGGAGAGAAAUAGGGCGGUAGUUGGAAGGGGACACAGAGUAAAGGAAGUUAUUUAAUGUUUUUUUAAUGCGGGAGAAAUAGCAUCACAUUUGUGAAUAAUUUAGUAGCAAGAGAAGUGAUGAUGCCGAAGAGAAGAAUUGUCAGGCUCCCUUUGUGAGCGGGUGAAGGGGGCAGGGAUGGAGGGCGCAAGCCCAGAGGCUGCCUCUCGGCUAGAAGUCAGAGCUGCCGCUUGGAGAGCCUGCAGCGGAGACUACCAGUGUGCGCUCGAAUUCUGGGCGGUGUACGCAGCUGUCCCAAUGAGACAAGGUGGCUUCUGAUUGCUUCUGUUAGAUUCAGGAAGUGCUGGAGAAGAGUGCAGAAAGCGCAAAGUUGGCUAGAUCCGCAGACACAUAUCCAUGAGCCAGGGUUGGAUGGAUCUGGUCUGAGAGGCUGUGAAAGCGGUGGAUAGGGUUGGUCCACGUUGGUCUCUUUGGCAUCCAACGGCACCUGAGCCGUUGCGGUCCAGGAUCCUGUCAUCGAUGUGGGCCCCUGUGUCCUAGGUACCCAGCUCUCCGUUACUCCAGAUCCUCAUAUUCCAGGGUUGUGAGAGAAAUCCUGGGGAGGGAGAGAAGGCUGUUACCUGGAAAGUGCUUGUGUAAAUAAUGGGCUUGUGAAGUUGUUUGUUGUUAUUGUGGUUAUUGUUGUUUUUUACUCUUUGCCCUAGAGUCUGUGAUACACAUUUACAACUAAUCUACAUCCACUUCCAAGUAAUAUUACACUCCUUCACAGGUGCUAGAGAUUUUCAAAUUCCUCCCUCACGUCCCUUCUAAUUCAUUUCACUUAUCUGUAAGUUACAAUCACCCACUGUGUCUUUGCUCUUAUUAUUUUGAGCAAACUGCUAUCUGUUAGAUCAACUAAGAAUAAGAAAAAUAGAAAGCUUUCUUUACCUUCAUUUAUUCCUUUUUUAAUGCUUUUACUGUCUCUGUGUGGAUCCAUGUUUCCCACCUCUGUCAUUUUCCUUUCUUCUGAAGAAUUUCAUUUCAAAUUGAACAGGUUUACUGGUGACAGAUUCCCUCGGUUUUUGUCUGAGCAAGUAAUUCUCCUUCACUGUUGAAACAUGAUUUCAGUUCAGGAUACAGAGUUCUAGCUUGGUGUUUUUCUUUCAACAUGUAAACAUUUCAUUCCUCUCUUGUUUGCACGGUUUAUGAGGAGAAGUUCUAUGUAAUUCUUAUGGCUGUUGCUCUGUAGGCUAGUGUCCCCCCCGUUUCCCCCACCUCCCUAGUUCUUCCCAAAUUUUCUCUUUGCCUUUGAUUUUCUACAUUUUUUUAUAUGAAAUAUGCAGGUGUAAUUUUUUUUUUUUUUUUGCAUUUAUUGUGUUGAGUGUUUUCUGAACAUUUAGAUCUGUGGUUUGAUUUCUGUCACUAGUUAUGGAAAAUUCUUGGCCAUGAUAUCUUCAAAUAUUUCUUCUUUCUUUGCUUCUGGUGUUCCCAUUACACAUGUUACACCUUUUAUAAUUGUCCCAUAGUAUUGGAUAUUCUGUUCUCUUUUCUCAUUUUUUUUUUUUUUUUUUUAUUCUGCGACUUUUCUGUUGACUUAUCCAGGCUCACGGAGCUUUUCUUGGCUGCAUCCACUCUACUGAUGAGCCCAGCAGAGACCCUACUCAUUUCUGUUACAGUGUUUUUGAUUUCUAGCAUCUCCUUUCAGUUCUUCCUUACAAGUUUCUAUCUCUCAGCUUACAUUACCCUUCUGUUCUUAAGUGUUACCCAUUUUUUCCAUUAGAGUUCCUAGCAUAUUAAUCAUAGUCAUUUUAAAUUCCCAAUCUGGUAAUCCCAAAAUAUCUACCAUACAUGAUUCUCGUUCUAAUGCUUGGUUUGCAUCUUCAGACUGUUUUUUUUUUUUCUUUUUAAACUCUAAGUAUUUUUGGCUUUUUAGAAUGCCUUGUAAUUUUUUUUUUUGAAAGCUGAACAUGCUAUAUUGAGUAAAAGGAAAUGAGGUAAAUAUGUUAUUAGUAUGAUGUUUAUAUUUAUCUGGCUGGAAGUUAGGCUGUUUGCUUACUAUGUGCUAUAGUUUUAGGUGUCAGAGGCUCAAAUUUCCUUUAGUGUUCUUGUUUGGGUUUGCAAAUUGUUUUUGAGUUUCCUUACAGACUUUCUGGAACAGAACCUGAGCCUUGCAGUUCUUCUCAGCUGUCAUCUCCUACUAUUAUAGAGGAGCCCUGUUGGUGUGUGAUAAAGCGUGUUGGGGGGAGCAGAGGGAGAAGAAGCCUUCUAGUUUUUUAUGAGAAAUUCUCAGUAUUUGAUGGUCCUGUGUCACUGUAUUAUAUGACCUUUACAAGUGCAUUUCAGUUCCUUCCUUUUUCCCCUUAGGUGACACAGGAAGACUAGAGGUGGCCAAAUUUGGGUAUUCCCCUUCCUCCUUGUUGGUUAGGCUUGGGUGAAUCUCAUGUUGGUUGAGAUCUGCUACAAGAGUUUCCCUUGAGGGCAGACCUUUGUUCAUAAGAACCAAAAGCUCUGGGGGCAUUUUGAAAUGAUUAUUUCCUUUCUCCUGCCUAAAGCAUGAGGAGAUAUUUCUCUUAUUUUUCACCCUGAUAACCUGCUGGGGGGUUCCUGGCAUUAAAAUUCAUGAAGGUGUUUGCUCCCCACCCCAUUCCCCAAAUGGUGGGCCCCUAACAGGUUUUCUCUCAAGCUUGUCUACACAAAGCCUCCCAGGCUCCGUUUAUGGCUCCUGCCUGGUAAGCCUUCUUUCUUUGUAUUUGUUCAUCUCUCCUAAAUUGGGGCAGGCAAUUUGUCCAAUGCCCUGCAUUUUUCUGAUGAGUUCAAGAAGAGUUGCUGAUUUUUAGUUUGUUCAGCUUUUUUCUUGCGAGGAGUGGAACAACUUCCAAGCUCUUCACUUUGUAUUCAUAGUAUAUAUUCAGGUUCACUGGAAAGUGGAGUCUGAAGACUUUUCAAUGGGAAAUGAUUCAUGCCAUGAUAAUGUAAGGCCAAAAGAAAGCAAAGAAGAGGUCAAAAACAAUUUAAAAAAGAGAAGUAAGAC